rnacentral:hammerhead_ribozyme from 1 species
CUCCAACUGAAGAGUCCCAAAUAGGACGAAACGCGCAUCCUGGAU